GUGAGGAAUAUUGCGCAAUGGAGGCAACUCUGACGCAGCCAUGCCGCGUGCAGGAAGAAGGCGCUACGCGUUGUAAACUGCUUUUAACCGGGAAGAAACCCCAGGACGUGUCCUGGGUUGACGGUACCGGAGGAAUAAGCACCGGCUAACUUCGUGCCAGCAGCCGCGGUAAUACGAAGGGUGCAAGCGUUAUCCGGAUUCAUUGGGUUUAAAGGGUGCGUAGGCGGAGCGUUAAGUCAGUGGUGAAGUCCUGCAGCUUAACUGUAGACUUGCCAUUGGUACUGGCGCUGUGGAGUGCGCUUGAAGUGGGCGGAAUGUGCCGUGUAGCGGUGAAAUGCUUAGAUAUGGCACAGAACACCAAUUGCGAAGGCAGCUCACUAAGGCGAUACUGACGCUGAGGCACGAAAGCGUGGGGAUCGAACAGGAUUAGAAACCCCGGUAGUCC
rnacentral:rRNA from 1 species